CUUGCCUGGAUACUCAUGACGCGGCCCCAGUUCGCACUCCCAUUGCUUGUCCUGUGUCUAGAGAAGCCAAUCAGCGUCACCGCGGUCCCUGGCCUGUCCUGGCCACGGACCCGCUGGGACUUCUAUUCUCCAGACCCUGAGGAUGCGGGUCGUGAUGCCCCGAACCCUCCUCUUGCUGCUGUCGGGGGCCCUGGCCGUGACCCAGACCUGCGCGGCCUCGGGGAGCCCCGGUACUUGGAAGUCGGCUACGUGGACGACACACAGUUCGCGCGGUUCGACAGCGACGCCUCGAGUCCGAGGACGGAGCCACGCGUGCAGUGGUUGAAGCAGGAGGCGCCGGAGUAUUGGGAGCAGGAGACGCGGGGCGCCAAGGACACUGCACAGACUUUCCGACUGAGCCUGAACACGCUGCGCGGCUACUACAACCAGAGCGAAGCCGGGUCUCACACCAUCCAGUGGCUGUCUUCCUGCGAAGUGGGGCCCGAUUGGCGCCUCCUCCGAGGAUACUGGCAGUUCGCCUAUGACGGCGAGGAUUACAUCGCCCUGAACGAGGACCUGCGCUCUUGGACCGCGGCGGACACGGCGGCGCAGAUCACCCGCCGCAAGUGGGAGGCUGCCGGAGCAGCCGAGCAUCAAAGGAACGACCUGCAGGUCACAUGCGUAGAGUGGCUCCGGAAGUCCUUGGAGAGGGGGAACAAGACGCUGCUGCGCACAGACUCCCCGAAGACACACAUCACCCACUACCCCACUUCUGACCAUGAUGUCACCCUGAAGUGCUGGGCCCUGGGUUUCUAUCCUGCGGAGAUCACCCUAACCUGGCAGCGUGAUGGGGAGGACCUGACCCAGGACACGGAGUUUGUGGACACUAGGCCUGGGGGAGAUGGGACCUUCCAGAAGUGGGUGGCUGUGGUGGUGCCUUCUGGAGAGGAGCAGAGAUACACGUGCCAUGUGCAGCAUGGGGGGUUGCCCAAGCCCCUCAUGCUGAAAUGGGAGUCCCCUCCUCAGUGCAGCAUUCCCAUGGUGGGCAUUGUUGCUGGUCUGGUUUCCUUUGUGGUCAUCAGUGCUGUGGUGGUUGGAGCUGUCAUAUGGAGGAGGUAGAGCCAAGGUGGAAGAGAAAGGAGUUAUGCUCAGUCUGCAUGUAGUGACAGUGCCCAGGGCUCUCUCCACUGCUAAAGUGUGAGCCAGCUGCCUCGUGGGGGACUGAGUGUUGCAAGAUUUGUUCACUUUCCCACUUUGUGACCAAUGCCCCUGAUAUCUCUUUCUACAAAGGGCUUUGGCAUGUGUCCUUGUUCCUAUUACCAUAAUGUGAGGAGGUUUUUUCUCAAGAAUGGAUGCUGUACAAGCGCCUGGGUGGCUCAGUCAGUUAAGCUUCAACUUUGGCUCAGCUCACGAUCUUGCAGUUUAUGAGUUCAAUCUCCGCAUCAGGCUCUGUACUGACAGAGUGGAGCCUGGAGCCUGCUUCGGAUUCUGUGUCUCCCUCUCUCUCUGCCCCUUCCCUGCUCACACUCUUUCUCUCAAAAAUGAAUAAGCAGUAAAAAAUAUUAAAAAAAAAGGAAUGUAUACUGUAUUUUGUCAAAUCCUUUUUCUGAAUCUAUUGACAGCAUCAUAUGGUUCUUAUCCUUUCUUUUAUUAAUGUGGUGCAUCACAUUGAUUGAUUUGUGAAUAUUGAACCACCUCUGCACCCCAGGAGUAAAUCCUACUUGAUCAUGGUGAGUAAUUCUUUUAAUGUUGGAUUCAAUUUGCUAAUAUCUUGCUGAGAACUUUUGCAUCCAUGUUUAUCAUGGAUAUUGGUCUGAAAUUCUCCUUUGUAGUGGGGUUUUUGUCUGGUUUUGGAAUCAAUAUAAUGCUGUCCUCAUAAAAGGUGUUUGGAAGUUUUCCUUCCAUUUCUAUUUUUUGGAACCGUUUGAGAAGAAUAGGUAUUAACUCUUCUUUAAAUGUUUGGUAGAAUUCCCCCGGGAAGCCAUGUGGUCUUGGACUAUUGUUUGUUGGGUAAUUUGUGAUUAAUGAUCAAUAUCUUUGCUGGUUAUGGGUUUGAUCAAAUUUUCUUCUUGUUUCAGUUGUGGUAGUUUGUAUGUUUCUAGGAAUAUAUCAUUUCUUCCAGAUAGCCCAAUUUGUUGGCGCAUAAAUUUUCCUAGUAUUCUCUUGUGAUUGUAUUUCUGUGGUGUUGGUUGUGAUCUCUCCUCUUUCAUUCAUGGUUUUGUUUAUUUGGGUCCUUUCUCUCUCUCAUAAGUCUGACUAAGGGUUUAUCAAUUUUAUUAAUUCUUUUAGCCCCUAGAGUGAAAGCUUCAGGACAUGUGUUUACCUUACACCCAGUCACUCCUCAGAACACUCUUCAGAAGCUGGUCUGUGUUGCGAUCUAUUCACCUCCUGAACACUGCUGGUUCAGAGUUUCCUGGGUACCUGAAGGGUGUUACACCGGUAUGGAACUCAGUAUGGAAAACUGUAAUCCUUAAAUUUCUGUAUGCUUUAACUUUCUUCUUUAUAAGUCUUGGCUUUAUAGUAAUAAAAUUGUUUUAAUUAAAAAAUAAUUCUUCCAAAGAACCAGCUCUUAGUUUCAUUGAUCUGUUCUACUCUUUGUUUGCUUCUAUAUCACUUAUUUUUCUCCUAAUCUUUAUUAUUUCCUCUAUUUCUGCUGGCUCUACACUUCAUUUGCUCUUCUUUUUCUAGCUCCUUUAGGUGUAAAGUUAGGUUGUGUUUUGCUUCUUGAGGUAGGCCUUAUUGCAAUAUACUUCCCUCUUAGGACCACCUAUGCUGCAUCCCAAAGGUUUUGGACUGUCAUGUUUUCAUUUUCACUUGCUUCCAUGUAUUUUUAAAAUUUCUUCUUUAAUUUCUUGGUUAACCCAUUCAUUCUUUAGUAGGAUAUUCUUUAAUCUCUAUGUAUUUGUGGUCUUUCUAAAUUUUUUCUUGUGGUUGACUUCAAGUUUCAUAGUGUUGCGGUCUUAAAAUGUGCAUGGUAUGAUCUUAAUCUUUUGUACUUGUUGAGGGCUGAUUUGUGACCCAGUAUGUGAUCUAUUCUGGAGAAUGUUCUUUGUGCACUCGAAAAGAAUGUGUAUUCUGCUGCUUUAGGAUGGAAUGUUCUGAAUAUAUCUGUUAGGUCCAUCCAGUCCAGGGUGUCAUUCAAAGCCAUUGUUUCCUUGUUGAUCUUCUACUUGGGUGAUCUGUCCAUUGUUGUAAGUGGGAUGUUAAAGUCCCUUACUAUUAUUGUGUUAUUAUCAAUGAGAUUUUCAAUGGUUAGUAUUAAUUGAUUUAUAUAUUUGGGUGUUCCAAGUUAGGGGGCAUAAUAUUUAUAAUUAUUAGAUCUUCUUGAUGGAUAGACCCUUUAAUUAUGAUAUAGUGCCCUUCUUCAUCUCUUGUUACAAUUUUUGUUUUAAAAUAUAGUUUGUCUGAUAUAAGUACAGCUACUCUGGCUUUCUUUUGAUGUCUGUUAACAUGAUAGAUGGUUCUCCAUCUCCUCAGUUUCAAUUUGUAGGUGUCUUUAGGUCUAAAAUGAGUCUCUUGUAGGUAGCAUAUAGAUGGAUCUUGCAUUUUUUAUCCAUUCUGAUACCCUAUGUUUUUUGAUUGGUACAUUUAGUCCACUUAUAUUCAGAGUAAUUAUUGAUAGAUAUGAACUUGGCCACUGCCAUACGGUGUUUCUGGUGAUGUUCUCUGUUCCUUUCUAGCCUUUGUUGCUUUUGGUCUUUCUUUCCCACUCAAAGCAUCCUCUUUCACCUUUAACAUGUCUUGCAGGGCUGGUUUAGUGAUCACAAACUCCUUUAGAUUUUGUUUGUCUGAGAAUCUGUUUAUCUCUCCUAUUCUGAAUGACAGCCUUGCUGGAUAGAGUAUUCUUGGCUGCAUGUUUUCCCCAUUCAGCACCUUGAAUAUAUCAUGGCACUCCCUUCUGGCCUGCCAAGUUUCUGUGAACAGACCUAUUGCAAAUCUGAUUUGUCUUUUCUUGUAGGUUAAUGACUUUUCUAUUGCUGCUUUCAGGAUUCUUUUCUUGUCUGUGUAUUUUGUGAAUUUGACUAUGAUAUGUCUUGGUGUGGGCCAGCUUUUAUUCAUUUUGAUGGGAGUUCUCUGUGCUUCUUGAAUUUUGAUGUCUGUUUUCUUCCCCAGAUUAGGGAACUUUUCAGCUAUCAUUGCUCAAAUAAACCUUCUCUCCCCUUUCAUUCUGUUCUUCUUCAGGGACUCCUAUGAUACCAAUAUUAAUACAUCUUAAGGGAUCACUGAGUUCCCUAAGUCUACAUUCAUGAUCUAAUACUUGUCUUUACCUCUUCUUUUCAGCUUCAUUAUUUUCCAUAAUUUUUCUUCUAUAUCACUGAUUUUUUUCCUCUGCUUCAUCCAUCCUUGUUGUAAUUGUGUCCAGUCAAUUUUGUAUAUCAGGUAUAGUACUUUUUAUUUUGGCCUGAGUAGUUUUUAGUUAUUUUAUCUCUUUGGUAAGGGACUGUCUAGUGUUUUCUAUGCUUUUUCAAGGCCAGCUAGUAUCUUUAUGAUUGUUGUUUUCAAUUCUAGUUCAGGCAUCUUAUAUCAGUUUUCAUUAAACCCCUGGCCAUUACUUCUCCCUGUUCUUUCUUUUGGGGUGAAUCCCUCCAUCUUGUUAUUUUUUCUAGGUCACUUCUUUUUUGUGUGAAUGUUAGGAAAGUCUGUUAUAUUCCUGCUCCUGAGAAUAGUGGCUAUAUUAAGAAGAGGUCUUAUACCGUCUUGGGCCUGGUGCUUCAGGAGGUGUUUCAGAUUGUGCAUUCUGCUGUUGUGUUUUGGCUGUUCCUUCCCUCAAGUCAGUCCUCUGCAGAGUUUCUUCUUGCCUGUGUGUGGGGUGUUUGGACCUUGUCCACUGUGUGGCAAAUUUUAACCAGGUAUGUUUUGGUCUGCUUGGUAGAAGAAGCUAGAUCCUGUUUCCCCUAGAGCUGAAUCUUUGAAGCACUCUAUGAUCAUAGACUUGGUGCGUGCCAGGGGUUUGUGCUGGUAUUCUGGGGGAGGGGCCUGCUGCACUGAUUCUCUGGUGGACAUGCCCUUCGUGGAAAUGCACCUGCAGGACACAGGGGGAUGGGGCUUUGUGUAAGCCUUCACUGGGGGGUACUGUGUUGCUCACUGAAGUCAGUCAGUGCUGAUGGGGGGGGGGGAUGGCAUCGUUCUGUUCUCUCCUCCAGGGAGCAGGGAGUUCACGCCUGCCAGUCUUCAGGAAACCCCCACAGAAAAGCACACAAUGACCCCUCUUGUGUCCCUGGUUUCCAUCAGAUCCCUGCCUUCACCCUGUCUGUGUCUAAGCUGUCUGUCUACCAGGCUGCACAGUACUCCCAUGUUUCAUCUCAGGCAUGCAGCUGGGUUUCAAAACUCCAGAUUUUAAGGAUUUGUACAGCUCAGACUCAUACUGAGCCUCUGAGGGAGGAUCUUGCCACACUGUGAUCUGUGCUGGUUUGUCCAGAAAACAGUUGCAUGAAUGCACAGAGGUUUGGCGUUUAUGGUAAAGUGCAGCAAAAAGCUGGUACCAAGGUUUGCUACCUUCAACCGGUGUCUUUGUUCCUAUGCUAGUGAACAGGGCAGCACUUUGGUGGUGCUAGUUCUUUUGUCCUUGGAGAUGCCAUGCCGCUACUCCCAAAUACACUCCUAGAAAGGCAACUGUUUCAACCUGAGCGAUCCAAGGGAGCCUCAGACUACACUGUCUGCUCCUGGGUCUCCACCCUCCUUCCCUUCCAGAGCACUACUGAGCCUGCCAGGCAAGACCCCAGUGAUGGUGCAGAUUUCUAAAACCUCAGAAUUUGAGCUCCACUGCUUGUAAAAACUUGCAAUAGUGAGCCCCUCUCCUUUGGUUUUGGGGAAGUGUUUUUCUUUCUUUUUUUUUUUUUUUCAACGUUUAUUUAUUUUUGGGACAGAGAGAGACAGAGCAUGAACGGGGGAGGGGCAGAGAGAGAGGGAGACACAGAAUUGGAACCAGGCUCCAGGCUCUGAGCCAUCAGCCCAGAGCCGGACGCGGGGCUCGAACUCAUGGACCGCGAGAUCGUGACCUGGCUGAAGUCGGACGCUUAACCGACUGCGCCACUCAGGCGCCCCGGGAAGUGUUUUUCUUGUGCAAUCCCCUGCGCGUGCUUUCUCUCUCUCUCUGUCUGGCUCCUCUCUUGGUGACCAGGACUCUCUCCCCUCUGCAGCACCUGAAAUUCUCCCCCCCACCCCAUCAACUUUCCAUAGCUCCUAUCUUCCAUGAUGUGCUGUUUUUCUGCCUCUGGUUGUGUAGUCUUUAGGUUAAUUUCUUGCGUGUUCAGAAUGAUUUGAUCUUUAUCUAGCUGUGUUCAAGGGACAAGGUAAGCUUAGGGUUGCCCCUACUCCUCUCCCAUCUUAACUCCUUCUCUUGCAAAUUAUAUAUCUGAUAAGGGGUUAAUACCCCAAAGAUAUAAUUAACGCAUACUGUUUAACAUCAAACCUCCCAAACAAUAUGAUUAAAAAAUGGGCAGAAGAUGGGGCAUCUGAGUGGCUCAGUCAGUUAAGCAUCCAACUUCAGUUCAGGUCAUGAUCUCAUGGUUCAGGAGUUAGAGCCCCGCGUUGAGUUCUGUGCUGACAGCUCAGAGCUUGGAGCCUGCUUCAGAUUCUGUGUCUUCUUCUCUCUCUGCCCCUCCCCAACCUGCACUCUCUCUCUCUUUCUCUCUCUCUCUCUCAAAAAGUAACUAAACAUUAAGAAAAUUUAAAAAAAUGGGCAGAGGAUUUGAAUAGACAUUUUCCCAUUGAAGCAGGCAAAUAGCCAACACACAAAUGAAAAGAUGUUCAAAAUCACUACUCAUCAAGGAAAUGCAAAUCAAAACCACAAUGAGAUAUCACCUCACACCUGUCAGAAUGGCCAACAUUAACAACUCAGGCAACAACAGAUGUUGGCAAAGAUGCAGAGAAAGAGGAUCUCUUUUGCACUGCUGUUGGGAAUGCAAACUGGUGAAGCCACUCUGGAAAAGAGUAUGGAGGUUCCUCAAAAAAAUCAAAAAUAGAACUAUCCUACGACUCAGCAAUUGCACUACUAGGUAUUUAUCCAAGGGAUACAGGUGUGCUGUUUUGAAGGGGCACAUGCUAUAAACCAAAGUAGUCCUAAGAGGAAAGUAUAUUGCAACACAGGUCUUCCUCAAGAAGAAAGAAAAGCCUCAAAUACCCAACCUAACCUUAUACCUAAAGGAGUUAGAAAAGGAACAGAAAGCAAAGCCUAAAGCCAGCAGAAGGGAAAUAAUAAAGACUAGAGCAGAAAUAAACAAUAUAGAAACAAACAAAACAAAAUAAAACAACAACAAAAUAACAGAAACAGAUCAAUGAAACUAGGCUGGUUAUUCAAAAAAAUUAAUAAAAUUGAUAACCCCCUAGCUAGACUAAUCAAAAAGAAGAGAUAUAACCCAAAUAAAUAAAAUUGUGAAUGAAAGAGGAGAGAUAACAACCAACACCACGGAAAUGCAAACAAUUAUAAGAGAAUAUUAUGAACAAUUAUAUGCCAACAAACUGGGAAAUAUGAAAGAAAUGGAUAAAUUCCUAGAAACAUACAACCUGCAAAAACUGAAACAAGAAGAAGUAGAAAAUUUGAACAGAUGCAUAAUUAGCAAAUAAAUUGAAUCAGUAAUCAAAAAUUUCCCACCAAACAACAGUCCAGGGCCAGAUAGCUUCCCAGGGGAAUUUUACCAAACAUUUAAAGAAGAAUUAAUACCUAUUCUUCUCAAACUGUUCCAAAAAAUAGAAAUGAAAGGAAAACUUCCAAACUCAUUCUACAAGCUUAGCAUUACCUUAAUUCCAAAACCAGACAAAGACCCCACUAAAAAAGAGAAUUAUAACCAAUAUCCCUGAUGAAACUGGAUGCAAAAAUUUUCAACAAAACACUAGCAAAUUGAAUUCAACAGUACAUUAAAAGAAUUAUUCACAAUGACCCAGUGGAACUUAUUCCUGGGCUGCAGGGCUGGUUCAAUAUUUGCAAAUCCAUCAAGGUGAUGCUCUCAUUAAUAAAAGCAAAGAACAAUAUGAUCUCAAUAGAUGCAGAAAAAGCAUUUGACAAAAUACACCAUCCUUUCUUGAUAAAAACCCUCCAGAAAACAGGGAUAGGAGGAACAUACUUCAACAUCAUAAAGGCCAUAUAUGAAAGACCCAUUUGGAAUUCUCUGUGUCUCUCUCUCUCUGCCUCUCCCCCACUCACUUUCUCUCUCAAAAUAAAUAAACAACAACAAAAAUAUUCUCUCUUUCCCUCUGCCCCCUCCCCAACUCGUGCAAGCACUGUCUCUAAAAUUAAAAUAAAUCUUAAAAGUAAAAUACAACUAAGAGGCACCUGGGUGGCUCAGUUGGUGAAGCAUCUGACUUCAGCUCAGGUCAUGAUCUUGAGGUUCAUGAGUUCUAUCCCUGAGUCAGGCUCUGUGCUGACACCUCAGAACCUGGAGCCUGCUUUGGAUUCUGUGUCUCCCUCUCUCUCUGCCCCUCCGCUGCUUGCACCUCUGUCUCUGUCUCUGUCUCUGUCUCUC